GACGAACGCUGGCGGCGUGCUUAACACAUGCAAGUCGAACGGUAAGGCCCCAGCUUGCUGGGGUACACGAGUGGCGAACGGGUGAGUAACACGUGGGUGACCUGCCCCGCACUUCGGGAUAAGCCUGGGAAACUGGGUCUAAUACCGGAUACGACCGCACCGAGAGGGUGUGGUGGUAAGUGUUUCGGUGUGGGAUGGGCCCGCGGCCUAUCAGCUUGUUGGUGGGGUAAUGGCCUACCAAGGCGGCGACGGGUAGCCGGCCUGAGAGGGUGGACGGCCACAUUGGGACUGAGACACGGCCCAGACUCCUACGGGAGGCAGCAGUGGGGAAUAUUGCACAAUGGGCGGAAGCCUGAUGCAGCGACGCCGCGUGGGGGAUGACGGCCUUCGGGUUGUAAACUCCUUUCACCAUCGACGAAGGUUUUCUGACGGUAGAUGGAGAAGAAGCACCGGCUAACUACGUG
rnacentral:rRNA from 1 species